rnacentral:lncRNA from 10 species
ACCAAAUGAUGAAGAAUAACAUUACAAGCUAACACAUAGCACAGUGAACAAAGAAAAGAUACUACUAACUCCUCAUAAAUUCUCCCAGAAAAGUGAAGAGGAAGAAACACUUCCCAACUCAUCCUUUGAGGCCAACGUAUAUCGAAGCCAGACAAAGGCACUACAAAAUAAGAAAACUAAAUAGGCAUGGUGGCACACUCCUGUAAUCCCAGCUACUUGGGUGGCUGAGGCACAAGAAUCACUUGAGCCUGGGAGGUAUAUAAAGACACAUGCACACGUAUGUUUAUUGCAGCAUUAUUCACAAUAGCAAAGACUUGGAACCAACCCAAAUGUCCAACAAUGAUAGACUGGAUUAAGAAAAUGUGGCACAUAUACACCUAGAUGACGAGUUAGUGGGUGCAGCGCACCAGCAUGGCACAUGUAUACAUAUGGGAGGCCGAGGUGGGUGGAUCACGAGGUCAGAAGUUCAAGACCAGCCUGGCCAAGAUGGUGAAACCCUGUCUCUACUAAAAAGUACAAAAAUUAGCCAGGUGCAGUGGCAGGCGCCUGUAAUCCCAGCUACUCGGGAGGCUGAGGCAGGAGAAUCGUUUGAACCCCAGGAGCAGAGGAAACAGUGAGCCGAGAUUUCACCACUGCACUCCAGCCGGGGAGACAGAGUGAGACUCCAUCUCAAAAUAUAUAUA